rnacentral:rRNA from 1 species
CAGUCGCCGCGGGAAUACGAAGGGUGCAAGCGUUACUCGGAAUUACUGGGCGUAAAGCGUGCGUAGGUGGUGGUUUAAGUCCGUUGUGAAAGCCCUGGGCUCAACCUGGGAAUUGCAGUGGAUACUGGAUCACUAGAGUGUGGUAGAGGAUAGUGGAAUUUCCGGUGUAGCAGUGAAAUGCGUAGAGAUCGGAAGGAACAUCUGUGGCGAAGGCGACUAUCUGGGCCAACACUGACACUGAGGCACGAAAGCGUGGGGAGCAAACAGGAUUAGAUACCCCUGUAGUCCCUGUCUCUUAUAA